CCUACGGGUGGCAGCAGUGGGGAAUAUUGCACAAUGGGGGCAACCCUGAUGCAGCGACGUCGCGUGAGUGAAGACGGUCUUCUUUAUGUAAAGCUCUAUCAGUCGGGAAGAAAAUCACGGUACCUGUGUACGAAGCCCCGGCUCACUACGUGCCAGCAUCCGCGGUCAUACGGAGGGCGGCAGCGUUAUCCGGUUUUACUGGGGGUAACGGGAGCGUAGACGGCAGUGCAAGUUUGGUGGGAAAGGCGGGGGCUCAACCCCCGGACUGCUCUGGAAACUGUACGGCUGGAGUGCAGGAGAGGUAAGUGGAAUGCCUGGUGUAGCGGUGAAAUGCGUAGAUAUUAGGAGGAACACCAGUGGCGAAGGCGGCUUACUGGAGUGUAACUGACGUUGAGGCACGAAAGCGUGGGGAGCAAACAGGAUUAGAUACCCCUGUAGUC
rnacentral:rRNA from 1 species